CUAAAACUCAUUACGAAAGGAACACGCAUGUUGAAGUGACUAUGCCAGCAAUACCACCAUUGCCAGGUUUACUCCUUUAGGAGGUGUAUGUUAGGAUCAAACAUUUACCAUCGGACUAAAAGCUUAAGCUAUUAGCUAUGAUGCAAUUUUAUUUCCAUAUAUUUCAUCAAUGGGAACGCAAAGCCCCACAAAUAAAGGUGAGUGAAUAUGAUGUAAGACUUGAUAUGACCACAUGUCACAAUUAUGUAGUUUAAUGUGGUUUAACGGAGUUAUUAAUUGUCUCUUUUGAUAUUUGAUAGGAGAUUAAAGGCAGUUGAUGGAAGUUAAUUGGUCUUUAGCCUAACCAUAUAUAAAGAUAUCAUCUUUUCCAUUAAAGAGAUAUCACAAAAAAAUACAAAAAAAGGUUCUAGAGGCAUAGGCUAUAAGACAUCUUUUAAACACUCAUUCACAAAUCAUUCAUGUUUUAGCUUUCUAUAACACUUGAACAAUAAGGCUGGAGGUAAGUAAUUAAAUUCCGCAUUAUAUUACAUACGUAAUAUUCCACAUAUGAGGGAUUUCAUAAUGCGUAUGUAAGCACAUCAAUGGGUUAGGCGAUUAAGCAGGCCCCCAUAGUGCGAGUCAUAAGGGAAAUUAUUGGCCGGCCCCCAUAAAACGAACAAUAUGUUUGCGCAAAUUUAGCACCUUCAUGAUAUUGAGGCUCUCACUCUCAACUGAAACCAACAACACAACUGAAGACCUGUCUCCCAUAAAUGAAAAACUUUAUAUAAAUAAUUGUUUAUUCAAAACCUUGGAUAUUUGAUUCAGUAAAGUAAUUAAAAAACUUUAAUUAAUACAGUAUUGUAAUAUGAAUACUAGCAAUUUUAUUCAUUUAUUACAGAAAUGAGUAGUGUGAUGUGGUGGGCAAAGGAGUGUCUUCGUUGUUUGAUAUGAAUUUUAUUGAUUCAUUCAUGAUAGUGCUUGUGGUAGUUCUGGUGUUGGUGAGUAUGAUGGUUGUGAUGGUGGGAGAGGAUGCUAGACUCUGGGGUGGAAGGAUUCAUUAAAAACAACAAGGAUAAUUAAGGUAUUAAUUAUUAACUUUGACUCAUGAACAAUACCUAGUUUCUGUCUUUAAGGAUGUGUCAAUAAUAUACGUAUCACUGUUAUCACACACCAUUGUGAAAUUCUGUAAAUUUCCAACAAUA